ACCCUAACCCAAAUCUUAAUUUUAUUAACACUCGCUCAACUCACCAUCCUACCAAAACUCUAGUCGUCACUCCCCUCACCCCCAACACCUACUACACUCAAACUCCAUACAAACAUAACACAGCAGUAGCAGCUGAGAAAGGAAGAAAAUGAAGAAAGAGGAAGAAGGAAAGCACAAAGAGGGAAGAGGAGAAAGGGAGGUGACGGCGCCGGCAGGGCUGGGUUGGCACUGUCGUUGUUGUCAAGCCCUGGAGAGAGAGAGAGAGAGUGCGGCGUUAAGGAAGAGGAGAUCUUGCCUCGCGUCUAACUGUCCCUGCCGCAGUCGCCCUCACCGCAAAUCGCCGUCGUCCUGCUCACAGGCAUGGAGGAAACCCGUCACCGCCAGCUUUGUUGGAUCUUCACCACCGAACCCGUCCUUGCCGCCGUUGGAAUCGUAAACAGAAGAAGGAGAAGAUGCGCAAAAGGGAGCCGUCGCGGAGUUGCCGUUGUCAUCGUGUUGAUGGGUUCGCCGUCGUCGCGUCUGGGUUGUUGUUGCGCCGCCAUUCGUCGCUGUCCAGUCACCAUCGAAACUUCGUGUCGUCAUUCUGACCGCUGAAAACUGCCGGUGGAACCCUUGUCUUCUCAGGUCGAGUUUCGGGUCUUGCGUGCUGAGUUCAAUGGUUGUUUCAUGCGACAUCAGGUUGUUGGGUCAUCACCGGAGCUGUCGCUACUCCGUUUUCUCGGUUAUUCGUAAAUCCAGUAAUUUGUUCCUUGUUCUGAACUUUGUUAGUCGUUGUUUUGUUAUAUGUUGCUAAGGUUCUUGUGACGAUAAUGCCUUAGAAUCGAGUUUCGGUUACUGCAUGUUGGUGAAUUUAAGUUGCUUCCAUGGCUGCGGAUAUAAUGGAGCUGUGGUUGCGGCCGCCACUGAUUUUGCUCCAAGAGAAAAAGGGUUUCUUUGACGCAUUUGGUUUAUGGGUUUCGAAUUUUUGAGGAUAUGGACGAAGACGUUUAUGAAGAGUUUAUUUCGUUUCUGAUUUUGCAAUAUUUUGUAUUAUUUUAAUUAUUAGUUUACCUCGCCAUUAUCUUUAUAAUUUUCAUAAGAGGGAUAGGAGUUGUGGUAUGUAAUGCUUGUAAGUUAUUAUUAUUAUUAUUAUUAUUAUUAUUAUUAUUAUUAUUAUUAUUAUUAUUAUUAUUAUUAUUAAUAAGUGUGGUA